GUAAGGAAUAUUGGACAAUGGGCGCAAGCCUGAUCCAGCCAUGCCGCGUGCAGGAUGAAGGUGCUCUGCAUUGUAAACUGCUUUUAUUCGGGAAUAAACCCCUCUACGUGUAGAGGGUUGAAUGUACCGAAAGAAUAAGGGACGGCUAACUUCGUGCCAGCAGCCGCGGUAAUACGAAGGUCCCAAGCGUUAUCCGGAUUUAUUGGGUUUAAAGGGUGCGUAGGCGGGUUGUUAAGUCAGUGGUGAAAUCUUACAGCUUAACUGUAAAAUUGCCAUUGAUACUGACGAUCUUGAGUAUGGUUGAGGUGGGCGGAAUGUGUCAUGUAGCGGUGAAAUGCUUAGAUAUGACACAGAACACCGAUUGCGAAGGCAGCUCACUAAGCCAACACUGACGCUGAUGCACGAAAGCGUGGGGAGCAAACAGGAUUAGAUACCCCUGUAGUCC
rnacentral:rRNA from 1 species